rnacentral:rRNA from 1 species
GCGAUACAGGGUGACAGCCCCGUACACAAAAAUGCACAUGCUGUGAGCUCGAUGAGUAGGGCGGGACACGUGGUAUCCUGUCUGAAUAUGGGGGGACCAUCCUCCAAGGCUAAAUACUCCUGACUGACCGAUAGUGAACCAGUACCGUGAGGGAAAGGCGAAAAGAACCCCGGCGAGGGGAGUGAAAAAGAACCUGAAACCGUGUACGUACAAGCAGUGGGAGCACGCUUAGGCGUGUGACUGCGUACCUUUUGUAUAAUGGGUCAGCGACUUAUAUUCUGUAGCAAGGUUAACCGAAUAGGGGAGCCGAAGGGAAACCGAGUCUUAACUGGGCGUUAAGUUGCAGGGUAUAGACCCGAAACCCGGUGAUCUAGCCAUGGGCAGGUUGAAGGUUGGGUAACACUAACUGGAGGACCGAACCGACUAAUGUUGAAAAAUUAGCGGAUGACUUGUGGCUGGGGGUGAAAGGCCAAUCAAACCGGGAGAUAGCUGGUUCUCCCCGAAAGCUAUUUAGGUAGCGCCUCGUGAAUUCAUCUCCGGGGGUAGAGCACUGUUUCGGCAAGGGGGUCAUCCCGACUUACCAACCCGAUGCAAACUGCGAAUACCGGAGAAUGUUAUCACGGGAGACACACGGCGGGUGCUAACGUCCGUCGUGAAGAGGGAAACAACCCAGACCGCCAGCUAAGGUCCCAAAGUCAUGGUUAAGUGGGAAACGAUGUGGGAAGGCCCAGACAGCCAGGAUGUUGGCUUAGAAGCAGCCAUCAUUUAAAGAAAGCGUAAUAGCUCACUGGUCGAGUCGGCCUGCGCGGAAGAUGUAACGGGGCUAAACCAUG